AUUGAACGCUGGCGGCAGGCCUAACACAUGCAAGUCGAGCGGAUGAAGGGAGCUUGCUCCUGGAUUCAGCGGCGGACGGGUGAGUAUGCCUAGGAAUCUGCCUGGUAGUGGGGGAUAACGUCCGGAAACGGGCGCUAAUACCGCAUACGUCCUGAGGGAGAAAGUGGGGGAUCUUCGGACCUCACGCUAUCAGAUGAGCCUAGGUCGGAUUAGCUAGUUGGUGGGGUAAAGGCCUACCAAGGCGACGAUCCGUAACUGGUCUGAGAGGAUGAUCAGUCACACUGGAACUGAGACGCGGUCCAGACUCCUACGGGAGGCAGCAGUGGGGAAUAUUGGACGAUGGGCGAAAGCCUGAUCCAGCCAUGCCGCGUGUGUGAAGAAGGUCUUCGGAUUGUAAAGCACUUUAAGUUGGGAGGAAGGGCAGUAAGUUAAUACCUUGCUGUUUUGACGUUACCAACAGAAUAAGCACCGGCUAACUUCGUG
rnacentral:rRNA from 1 species